CCUGAAAUUGGGUUGAAAAUACUGCAUUGCUUUAUAAUAAAGAUGCUAUAUCAUAAGCACUGUGAAUUGGAAUUCAAUUAAAUUUUGAUAAAUACAAGUUAAUGUUAAGCAAUAUCUAUAAGAAAGGAUGAACUGUUUGGUCAGUGUUGAUUCACUCCAUUCUUGAUGAGAAUUUAAUACAUUUCUUAUAAACUGUUCUUGUUUUUGUAUGAAAAGUACAGUACUGAUGUUGGAAGAGGAGCAAACAGUGUGGUAUCUAUUGUCCACCAUCACUUCAAACAUCAUGGUUAUGGAGAAAAGAAUGUUUCAUUACAUAUGGACAAUUAUAGUGGACAAAAUAAGAAAAGUGUUGUACAUGUAAUAAGAAAAACCCCAUUAUCCCACAGUCUACAUGAUGACUUUGAGUACAACCUGAUUGAGGCCCGGCAUACAGAAUUCAGUCCUGAACAUGUUUAGAAUGUCUUCAGCAUGACCUGGUAUAGAUAGUAUUCUUGAAGGAUUAUAACUUCAACACAGAGACGGAGAUUAAUAUUUUAGGCAGGGUGUUGGCAUGACAGGCAAAUUCACCAACCGUAUUACCAUUCCUGAGCUGGAUGCCAGUCGACAGUGGUACCUGUAUGAUGAAAUAGCGCCCCUUUGCAGCAACAGCAAUGUAUGCUCAAAACCAGCAUUGUCAAAGCCUUUAAAAUGGAUAAUUCAAGUCAUUUAAAACGAAGAAUGAAUGGAAAAAUGUGUUUAACAUUUAAAGUAAUACAGAGAAAGAGCUCUGAAAUUUUGAUUAAUUUGAAAGUGUUUUUGCUUUUUUGAAGAUGUACUAGACCCAAAUUCCAUAUAUUUGAAAAAGAACAAAUGAUACAUAUAAUUUAUGUAAACAUUGAAUUAACAACUUUAUGGUGUCAACAGUACUAUGCAUUUGUUAAAUAUUGACUCACUAUAUACAUGUAAGGCUGAACACAGUAUAAAGUGAAAUUCCUCUAAAACACUGGAAGAUUUUUCAACAAUAAUUGUAACAUAUAUGGUAGUAAUGUACAUUUUUUUCAUUACGACAGUUGGAUUAUAUAGAUCUACGAAUAUUUUCUGCUGUAUUCAAACUGCAUGUAAUCAUUUCUGUCGGCAGUAUCCUGUUUAUUUUCCCUUUUCAUGAACAAUUAAUUUAACCUGUCUUGAAAGCACAAUAUAUGUAUAAUUUGUAAAACAUACAUUGGAGUAUUGUGGAAACAAUUUAGUUUUUGUAUGCCUAGUUAUAUAUUAUUGCCGUUAGUAUCAUCUAACUCUUUUAAUAUGAUCAAGACAUUUAAUAAGGCAGUUUUCUUAAGCUAUUACUGUGUGUUAAAUGAGAUUAUGUAGUAUUAUGUUUACAGAAUUAACUGCGUAACCAUGGAAACAUUUUUCUGUUGUUCUAUAUUAUGUCUUGAAAAAAACAUUGUUUGAGGAACACUUUUCAGUGGUGCAUUUUUUUAAGUUUUACAUGUAAUGGUAAAUGCUGAAAGUAUUCUACAAUAACUUAGCAAAAACGUCAUUGUCUCAUUGAAGCAUAUACUGCAACUCCAUUGUAACCAUAGCAACAGAAAUACAUUGUAUUAUUUAUGAAUAAUGAUCUUCACAAACAAAUUACAUAUGUUAUUUUUCUUAAAGAAUGACCUAAAUUGGUUUUAUUCCAUAAAAAAAACAGACAUAGCAAAUAUUCUAAUUUUUAUCUUCGUUUCCAUGGCAACCAUAGAUUUUUUUGCCUCAAAUUACAGGCAUUGCUUAGGGUUAUAUCUUAGCAUAUCUGAAUGUUAAUUAUACGUUCUGAUGUAAUUGUUAUAAGAGAUUUUCGUGUUUCCAUAAAGAAAAUCAAUCGGUUGCCAUUGCAACAGCACAAUUUCAAAUGAAU